rnacentral:rRNA from 1 species
GGUCCUAGGGACGCAGCAGUGAGGAAUAUUGGUCAAUGGGCGAGAGCCUGAGCCAGCCAAGUCGCGUGAAGGAUGAAGGAUCUAUGGUUUGUAAACUUCUUUUAUAUGGGAAUAAAGUGAGGAACGUGUUCCUUUUUGUAUGUACCAUAUGAAUAAGCAUCGGCUAACUCCGUGCCAGCAGCCGCGGUAAUACGGAGGAUGCGAGCGUUAUCCGGAUUUAUUGGGUUUAAAGGGUGCGUAGGUGGUUAAUUAAGUCAGCGGUGAAAGUCUGUGGCUCAACCAUAAAAUUGCCGUUGAAACUGGUU